AUACAGAGGGUGCAAGCGUUAAUCGGAAUUACUGGGCGUAAAGCGCACGUAGGUGGUUCAUUAAGUCAGAUGUGAAAGCCCCGGGCUCAACCUGGGAACUGCAUUUGAAACUGGUGAGCUAGAGUAUGGUAGAGGUAAGUGGAAUUCCAGGUGUAGCGGUGAAAUGCGUAGAUAUCUGGAGGAACAUCAGUGGCGAAGGCGACUUACUGGACCAAUACUGACACUGAGGUGCGAAAGCGUGGGGAGCAAACAGGAUUAGAAACCCCGGUAGUCC
rnacentral:rRNA from 1 species